rnacentral:rRNA from 2 species
CCGUACACAAAAGCGCAUGUGCUGUGAGCUCGAUGAGUAGGGCGGGACACGUGGUAUCCUGUCUGAAUAUGGGGGGACCAUCCUCCAAGGCUAAAUACUCCUGACUGACCGAUAGUGAACCAGUACCGUGAGGGAAAGGCGAAAAGAACCCCGGCGAGGGGAGUGAAAAAGAACCUGAAACCGUGUACGUACAAGCAGUGGGAGCACAGGUUUACCUGUGUGACUGCGUACCUUUUGUAUAAUGGGUCAGCGACUUAUAUUCUGUAGCAAGGUUAACCGUAUAGGGGAGCCGGAGGGAAACCGAGUCUUAAUUGGGCGUUAAGUUGCAGGGUAUAGACCCGAAACCCGGUGAUCUAGCCAUGGGCAGGUUGAAGGUUGGGUAACACUAACUGGAGGACCGAACCGACUAAUGUUGAAAAAUUAGCGGAUGACCUGUGGCUGGGGGUGAAAGGCCAAUCAAACCGGGAGAUAGCUGGUUCUCCCCGAAAGCUAUUUAGGUAGCGCCUCGUGAAUUCAUCUCCGGGGGUAGAGCACUGUUUCGGCUAGGGGGCCAUCCCGGCUUACCAACCCGAUGCAAACUGCGAAUACCGGAGAAUGUUAUCACGGGAGACACACGGCGGGUGCUAACGUCCGUCGUGAAGAGGGAAACAACCCAGACCGCCAGCUAAGGUCCCAAAGUCAUGGUUAAGUGGGAAACGAUGUGGGAAGGCCCAGACAGCCAGGAUGUUGGCUUAGAAGCAGCCAUCAUUUAAAGAAAGCGUAAUAGCUCACUGGUCGAGUCGGCCUGCGCGGAAGAUGUAACGGGGCUAAACCAUGCACCGAAGCUGCGGCAGCGAACGUAUCACCCAAGACAACUUUACGGAGUUGACGAUUGACGGAGCGAAGCGACGUCAAAGCGUUCAUUAAAGUCGAGUUGGCUUAGGGAUACGUUCGUUGGGUAGGGGAGCGUUCUGUAAGCCUGUGAAGGUGUGUCGUGAGGCAUGCUGGAGGUAUCAGAAGUGCGAAUGCUGACAUAAGUAACGAUAAAGCGGGUGAAAAGCCCGCUCGCCGGAAGACCAAGGGUUCCUGUCCAACGUUAAUCGGGGCAGGGUGAGUCGACCCCUAAGGCGAGGCCGAAAGGCGUAGUCGAUGGGAAACGGGUUAAUAUUCCCGUACUUGGUGUUACUGCGAAGGGGGGACGGAGAAGGCUAUGUUGGCCGGGCGACGGUUGUCCCGGUUUAAGCGUGUAGGUGUGUGUUCCAGGUAAAUCCGGUUCACUUUAACACUGAGGCGUGACGACGAGGCACUACGGUGCUGAAGCAACAAAUGCCCUGCUUCCAGGAAAAGCCUCUAAGCAUCAGGUAACAUCAAAUCGUACCCCAAACCGACACAGGUGGUCAGGUAGAGAAUACCAAGGCGCUUGAGAGAACUCGGGUGAAGGAACUAGGCAAAAUGGUGCCGUAACUUCGGGAGAAGGCACGCUGACACGUAGGUGAAGUGAUUUACUCAUGGAGCUGAAGUCAGUCGAAGAUACCAGCUGGCUGCAACUGUUUAUUAAAAACACAGCACUGUGCAAACACGAAAGUGGACGUAUACGGUGUGACGCCUGCCCGGUGCCGGAAGGUUAAUUGAUGGGGUCAGCGCAAGCGAAGCUCCUGAUCGAAGCCCCGGUAAACGGCGGCCGUAACUAUAACGGUCCUAAGGUAGCGAAAUUCCUUGUCGGGUAAGUUCCGACCUGCACGAAUGGCGUAAUGAUGGCCAGGCUGUCUCCACCCGAGACUCAGUGAAAUUGAACUCGCUGUGAAGAUGCAGUGUACCCGCGGCAAGACGGAAAGACCCCGUGAACCUUUACUAUAGCUUGACACUGAACAUUGAGCCUUGAUGUGUAGGAUAGGUGGGAGGCUUUGAAGUGUGGACGCCAGUCUGCAUGGAGCCGACCUUGAAAUACCACCCUUUAAUGUUUGAUGUUCUAACGUGGACCCGUAAUCCGGGUUGCGGACAGUGUCUGGUGGGUAGUUUGACUGGGGCGGUCUCCUCCUAAAGAGUAACGGAGGAGCACGAAGGUUGGCUAAUCCUGGUCGGACAUCAGGAGGUUAGUGCAAUGGCAUAAGCCAGCUUGACUGCGAGCGUGACGGCGCGAGCAGGUGCGAAAGCAGGUCAUAGUGAUCCGGUGGUUCUGAAUGGAAGGGCCAUCGCUCAACGGAUAAAAGGUACUCCGGGGAUAACAGGCUGAUACCGCCCAAGAGUUCAUAUCGACGGCGGUGUUUGGCACCUCGAUGUCGGCUCAUCACAUCCUGGGGCUGAAGUAGGUCCCAAGGGUAUGGCUGUUCGCCAUUUAAAGUGGUACGCGAGCUGGGUUUAGAACGUCGUGAGACAGUUCGGUCCCUAUCUGCCGUGGGCGCUGGAGAACUGAGGGGGGCUGCUCCUAGUACGAGAGGACCGGAGUGGACGCAUCACUGGUGUUCGGGUUGUCAUGCCAAUGGCACUGCCCGGUAGCUAAAUGCGGAAGAGAUAAGUGCUGAAAGCAUCUAAGCACGAAACUUGCCCCGAGAUGAGUUCUCCCUGAGACUUAG